rnacentral:tRNA from 3 species
GGCGGCAUGGCCAAGUGGUAAGGCAGGGGACUGCAAAUCCUUUAUCCUCAGUUCGAAUCUGGGUGUCGCCU